UACUUCUGCCUGGUUUUCCUUUCCGCCACAUGCUGCGUCUCUUCCCUUCCAGACAGACGUGGGAGGGUUGAUGCUCAGUUGACCUCCCUUAUCGCUUGAGGGUGAUGGAAGGCCGUCUAUCCCAGAGAUACUUUGAGCUCACCACGCCCACACUCGGUGAAGACACAGGUUGCCGCAGCGUUGUUUGCUUAACCUCGGACCAGCGUACUCUGCCCAAACGUGCAUCACACCGUAGGGAACAGACUCACCUUUAAUUAUGGAGGGAAGAGCAGAGAGAACAGGGGGAACGUGUGAGCUGUUCCACCUGGAGUCUUCCCAGGCCGGAAGAGAGCUAGAAGGUCUGCGGUCAGCAUACAAGUGAAGCUCGAUAGCCCUCUUUGAAGAAGUGGGCAUCUGCUAAAGAUCUUUUGGGAGAAGGCAUCCCACUGGGAGUCCAUCUUCUCCAGCAGAUAAUGCAAAGACUGAUUUUAUCAAGCGCAGAGGAUUAAAUACCAUAUGGUUCCUGUCAUAUGAGAAAUCUGAAGUAUAAAUACAGAGCAAAAUAAAAGAUGAAUAAAAGCAAACGGUGAUAUAGAGCUACUACAAAUCAGAAGGAACCGGAAGAUGAAGCCGGGGGAAGGCAGAAGCCGGAAGGGGCCAUAAAAAUGGGAUUAGGAUGUAUCAGCUACGUGCACCAAACACAACAAAAGCGGUCAUUAUAUAUGGCAAACGUGGACUAAUAAGUUAAAAAAUAGAAACAAAGACUGUUUUCAACGUCUGCUCUGUGGAACACUUUGCUCCAUUCCUGUGAGCCUGUCAAAUGGAGAGCGUAUCAUAUGGCCUUUGCACACUCAGUCAAAACCCACGUCACACACUGUACCAUUGAGGAAAGGCCACUGUGUACCUUUCGUGGCGUUCAGCCUGUCCUGCUGCUCUGCCCACUGUCCUUCCCUGGGAGUUACCACCCAGCUCCCUAACCCUUUAGGCUCUGGAUGCCACCAAGGCCCUCGCUAGACGGCUCUUGUUGAGCUCUUUAAUGGCCUCCUGAUCUUUCACCCCCUGGGCUCAGGUGUGACCUAACCUGUGACGCUUGGCACCUCUUCCUUUCUCAAUCAUUGCUCUGUGACCUUUCACUUCUGAUUCCCUGGCCCUGGCCUGGCCACGUCCACUCUUCUCCCUGAAAUCCACGUCUGCCUUUAGAUUUGCAGCUCCUUGGGCAUCCAUCUGCGAUGCUCUGCUCUUCCCACCGCACACUGGUCAUCCUCCAGGCCCAGGCCCAGCGGUGGGGCAGCAAAUAGUAGGCCAGCCCAGUGUAGAGGCGGAAUGUCCGGACUGCAGAGAUUGUCACAGCGGAGGAAGGCGCCAGGACACGCUGUACCACCAGCCUCUUCCCCAGGAAGUUUCUCAAGUACGUGUCGCUAAGAGCUGCUCAUGGAAGAACUGAGCAAGUCGGGGUGUCAGAGGACAGCGUGCGAGGAGAGAAGUUAACUUUGAAGUUCUGCAAAGAUUCCUCAAAAAACUUAAGACUGGAGGUCUUGUUUGACCCUGCUAUCCCUCUUCUGGGUAUUUUCCCAGAAGAACUGAAUACAUCACAGCACAGUGACAUCUGUGCACCAUGUUUAUUGCAGCACAGUGUGGAACAGCUAAACCUUGGAAACAAGACAAAUGCCCAUCAACCUAGAAGUAGAUAAAAAAAGAUGUGGUAUGUUUAUGUAAUGGAGCACUACUCAGCUAUAAGGAAGGAUAACUUGAGGCUUUUACAGGUAAAUGGAUGCAACUUGAGACCGUACUCAUAAGUGAAGUAAGUCAGACUUGCACGUAUAAACAUGCUGUCUCCCUAGUUAAAAAGCCAACAGAGUAAAUAAGAUCCAAAAUGUGCAGUAGAUAUUGUGAAAGUGAAAAGGGGAAGAAACUACUCAAAAGGAAAGAAAAAUGGGAUUGGGGAAAGGAGAAAAGAAAGAAAAGAUAUUAUAAAUAUAAUAGAAAAUUAUACCACUAAUCUUUAUAAAUUCAUCAAAAAAUGG